CUAUCACCCACCACUGAAGAGAGAGAGACGGCAGCUUUUGUUUUGCGAAUUCAUCGCCUUCCUCGCCGAAACAUAAAAUCCGAUUUUCGAAUCCAUCGCUCUCUCUAUCUCGCUCCCCAAUUCUCGGCUUAUCUCGGGUUCUCCCAGUUAACAAAAUUGUCCAUCGAUCACUUCCCUCUCUCUCCCCUACUUCUCUCAGCUCGCUCCAGGUGAUCAUAAUUGUACAACCAAAUAGAAAAGAGGGAUUUCGCACUAAAAACGGGAGAGAGAGGGUACUGGUUCGCAGAGGCAAUUGAACUUCUGCGAGCUUAUAGUCCUCUCUUGUUCUCCAUUUAUUUGUUCGAGACAAUACAUCUUGAUGCCAAUACACUGCGGCAUUGAGUUUUGUUGGUGAGAUUGGAGAAUUCUUUUGGAGGGCAUUCUGUGGAAGAAAGGGAUUGGAGCUGGCACUAUGGGUUCUGUUUGCUGUUGUUUGCAUGUUGAGGAUUUUGAGGAUUAUAUGAAUCCUAACAGUUCUGUAUAUAGAAAUUGCAUGUGUCUCAGUUGCUUUGUACAGAAUUUUCUUCAUGUGGUAUGUUUUAUUAUUCUUCCUAUCACCUCCCAAAUAAAAAGUCAUCUAAAUUUUUCUAAUGAUGUCUUAUGCUUGUAAUAUUACUGGUUUAUAUUACCCUCGACUAAGAAUGUGAUUGAAACCAUCAAGAAUAUAUUUUUGUAUGCAUGCAGGGGUGACCAUUUAUUCAACACCUGUUUAAUUGUUUGCGGUAACAUGAUAUGAAAUACAAUGUGCCUGAAGGUAUAUCUGCUGAAUGUUACAAUAGGAAAAUUGCCUUCUUUUGUUUGUUCUUUGGCCUAAUGAAGAUCAGGAAGAAAAAUGUAUGAGAUUUGUUAAAGAAGGGGAAUGUUACAGCUUUAGAGGAUGUUUGAUUGCAUUGUUCUAUGUGAUCUACUUGGUUCUAGCUCAUUGAGCUGGGCCUGGAAUAGAAAUGCCUGUUUUUUCUUUUUAGCAGGUAAUAUAGUCUUUGCUGGAUUUGAGGCCUGGACACCUCUGUUUUGCUUUGGCGUUUUCCAUGGUAGUAGUGCAGUGCAUGGUAAACGUUUUUGCAGCAAAUGAAGGGGCAUUUGAUAGCUUAUCCUAAUUCCAGAGCAUCCAUCAGCUUCCCGUAGUCUUCAUGUGUGGCUGAAUUAUAUUUUAUACAAUGGUCCAAGUCAAUUGUAGAGUAUUAAUUUUGUGAAGAAUCAAUAGUUAAUUCUUUUGCUGUACAUGGUUAGAAAAAGAUAGUUAUGCGGAAUUACUGGGUUGAUUUGUGUGGACUUUGAACUUGUGUACAUAUUUAACUGUGAGACAUUCUUUUCCCCCCUCUUUAUUUAUUUAUUUACUUUUUUUUAUUUAUUUUAUAAUGUUCACGCUGAUGGAGUUCCAACCAUUAUCUAUCUUUUUCAUUUUGGUUUUUUCUUUAUUUGUAGUAUUCCUCAUUAUUUGGAAGAGGGGAAGUGCAUUCUGUCCCCUCAUCCAUUCAGGGGACAGCUUCUAUGACUUCUGCAUCACUUGACAACUCUCUCUCUGACAUGUACCGAUCUCCUCCAAGGCCCUUACCUUAUGAUGCCGAUCCCAGAUAUUUUCGCUUGCAGCGUGAUGGUCUGGUUUCAAGACGUGAGAAGGGCUCAAGUCAUUCACAUGAGGAAUCAGAACCGUUAAGAAGUGAAAAUGACGCCGAUUCUGAUUCCUUGAGCACAGCAGACAAAUGGUCUGCAUCUGCUUGUGAAGAAGGAUCCAAAGAACAGCGUGCUAGAUCCUCACUGAAGUUUUCAUCAGCGAAAACUGUUGGGAUUGGAUACAUUUAUUCAUCCUCAGAAGAUGAGGAUGUCUGUCCAACCUGCCUUGAAGAAUAUACACCAGAGAACCCCAAAAUAGUGACUAAAUGCUCCCACCAUUUCCACCUUGGUUGUAUUUAUGAAUGGAUGGAAAGAAGUGACAGCUGCCCAGUCUGUGGCAAGGUAACUCUGGCUUUAUCUUUUGUAAGCUUGCUUGUUCGGUUUUAAGUUUCAUCUAGCGCAUACACAUAAUUAGUGUAAAGUCCAAGAACUUUUAAUGAUGUUUCAUUCUAUCCUGCCUAAAACUAAUUGUACCGAUAUUCUUCUCAUUUUUCAUUUUGUUUAGAAUCCUAUUUUUGUAUUUCUUCCAAUUUUCUAAUCAUGUUAGUUAGUAUGUAGUCCUUAAGUUUGAAUCACAAGCAUUUGUAUUUUUGGGGUUCCAAUGUACAAACAGACAUUGGUCAAUCCCUCUUUUUGUUAAACUAUUUCAUAUCAAUAAAUAUAAUAUUUUUUUUUUUUAAAUUGACCCCUAUUCCCCUAAUAAAUUUAAUUAUUGAACCCUCUUUUUGACAAACAUAAAAAUAAAUUGUUCAUUUGUACGACUUGCUUGAAUGUAGUAGCUCUUUUUUUCACAUGAAAAUAUUGGUUAGAUUGACUUAAUUUUAUUCUACUAAAUUUUUAGAUAUUAAAGUCUGAAUACUUGAAAAUCAAUUUGAAAAUUUUAUUUUUGAUAUGCAAAUUUUUUAUAUGUUGACCCU
rnacentral:misc_RNA from 1 species